AGGCUGAGAAAUUACAUAGUGAAUGUGAAGCUCUCAAUAUAUGAUCUUAAAGGUUGGUAUUUUACAAAUACGAAAUAUAAAAGUAAUAAACUCCUGGCUUCUGCUUCAUUAUUAUCAAACACAUUUUGUUCAUAAGAAGGAUAACUAUGCAGAAUGAAAAGCAAAACAAAACAGAAAAACACAAUUACUGCACACUUCUUUAGGGUUGCUGUCUCAUUGAUAUUUAUCUCCUUUGCCCUGUUAUUCAUAUGCAGAAUAUGCAGACUCGAGUUGCUUCCUGGCAAGAACAAUCUCUCCCACGCUCUAAGAUUUGAAAACAUUUAUAAGUACAUGUUAUGCCACGAUAUAUAAUUUCUAUAUCAGAUGUUUAGUAAAAUACUCAGAGCAUAAGAUUAGUUAAAGAGAUAAUAAUCUGUAUUGUGGGAAGCUGUUACUUGUAUUGAAUGGGAACAAAAAUUAUGAGCUAAUAAGAUUUCAUAGUAUGUAGAUACACGUGACUGAAAUAAACUGAACCAUUAUCAACUCAAUCAUAUAUACUAUUAUCGCUAUUUUGUGCAUUUGUCCUUUGAUUUUUUUUGUGAUAAUUUUUCAUAUCCUGCUUCUCGCUUGAGAUGGAAAAUUAUCGCUAGAAACUAAGCAGGCACAUGGCGUUGCUAACGAAAUUGACAUGAAAUUGACAACGUCGUCAUAGGUAAAAUAGUGAUAUACAGAUUAUCAUUGGUCAUCUCAACUCGAUUGCUUUUCUUGCUUUCGUCGUCCCGGCUCAAGUGAGAAAAUCGAUCUCGUUGAGAUGAUCAACGAUAAUCUAUAAAUAAUUAAUAUGUUUACACUGGUAAUUUGGGGAAAAACAUUAGUGAUAACGAUAUAAAUUGACACUGAAUAAUUCUUUCGUUGGCGUUUACAAAAUAUCAAAAACAAAAGCAACAUAUGUAAGAUAAUUUGAUAUGAUAACUGGACGACAGACAUAUUAAAGAAUCAUUAAUCUAAUGUAAAAGUACAAUAUGCAUGCCCACUUCUUAAAGUUCUUUUGGAUCUUACACUAACAAAUAUCUUAUCUUUGUGCUGAUGUAAUCUUUGGGUUUGCAUUCAGACAGACUAUUUUCUAAUGAAUGUGUGGUAUUAAAAGAAAUUAAUGUAUAAGUUGACAUAGAAACAUAGUCGAAAAAAAAAAACAGUAAUAUCUUCCAUAUGAAAGAAUAAAAUAGAUAUCAAUACACAAAUGGGAUGUUAUACAAUAAUAAAGCUAGAAUCCUCCACCGCUAAUUGUGAACAAACCUAACGGAAGAUAUUCAUCAUCACCAUAGGAAUAAUAUGUCAAAUGAAUGUAACAUUUUCAUCUGAACUUAAGAGUAAGAGGACAAACACAUGAUUGAUUUAGGCAAAUAUUUUAUUGUUACGUGAUGGCAAUAUUAAUGCUCAUUUCACUCAAAUUUGCAAAUAUAAUCUCGACUUGAAUUGAACGCAGAACAAUUGUGAGUUAUAACGGACUAAAGAUAAAACGAUAGGCAUAAAGUUAAGGACACUUAGUCUGGGGAAAUACAUAUUAAAUAAUAAAAUUGGAAAAUUUAAUUUCAGUUUCUUUCCUGACUAUUCAUAACAAAGGAAUACGUUAAUUCUUCUUGUAUUGUAUUUUUUUCCUCUUUUCGCGUUCUACAAGUAUUUAUGUGAACUCUAAGGUAGGAUAGUCAUCCAUAUAAUCCCACUUUAAGCUUUUUAAUUUGAUCUAAUAUGUAAAUAUAAUGAAAAGUUACAGAAUGUAUCGACGCUGCACACUACAUAGGAAAACAUUAAGACUGAGAAUGCAUUAAAUACUUGAAUUAGAUAUAUGAAUAAUGCCAUGGUUGUGGCGUAGAAAUAUACAUCGCAGUUCAUCAAAUUUCGACUUGGUGUGUUUCAAAGUAAAAUUAUGAAGAUCAAUAUUUGAAUGUUAUAUGAUUUUAUUUUUCCACUUUUGUUUUCAGACAUUCACCAAAAGGGAACAUCGUCGUACGAUCACAGUCAUGGAUAUUCAUCAUUUACACCAUUGAAAUCAACAUUCCACAGUUUUAUUGCCAUGAUCAUUUCUAAGUUGCCACUGUUGACAAUAAUAAACAUAACCUUAGAGGGUAAAUAAUACCAUAAUUUGGUCCAACUAUUGUUAGACGGUUUGAAUUGACUGCUACCUGUUUUAUGUAAUGAUGUACUUUCAAAAAGUACAACUCAAAAAUAAAAUGUUCUAUAUUAUAAAAA
rnacentral:lncRNA from 1 species